UCCGGUUUGUCACCGGCAGUCCCGUUAGAGUGCUCUUGCGUAGCAACUAAUGACAAGGGUUGCGCUCGUUGCGGGACUUAACCCAACAUCUCACGACACGAGCUGACGACAGCCAUGCAGCACCUGUGUGAAGGUUCCCUUUCGGGCACUCCCAGAUCUCUCCGGGAUUCCUUCCAUGUCAAGGGUAGGUAAGGUUUUUCGCGUUGCAUCGAAUUAAUCCACAUCAUCCACCGCUUGUGCGGGUCCCCGUCAAUUCCUUUGAGUUUUAAUCUUGCGACCGUACUCCCCAGGCGGUCUACUUCACGCGUUAGUUGCGUUACUGAUCCAGCAAAGGACCAACAACCAGUUGACAUCGUUUAGGGCGUGGACUAC
rnacentral:misc_RNA from 1 species